CGCGCGACGUGCGAAGGGCUCGGGCGGGCGGGUUGCGGUGACUCCGAGCCCCGCACCGCACCGCAGCGCCGCGCCCCCGGCCGGCUCCGGCCCCGCGUUAUUUAUUUAUUUAUUUAUUUAUAUCCGCCCCUCCACCUCCCCCGCAUUAUUUAUUUAAGACAUAUUAACAAGUCUUGCGUGAUGACGGGUGGGAAAGAGGGGGGGACGCCACACCCCCGCACCCCUCCGAAGGCCUGCGAGGGCGAAGACUCUUCUCGGCUGCACAGUCCCUGAGCACCCCGGGGGUUCGGCGCACACACCCCCCCCAACCCCGCGGUUGCGUGAAGGGGGGGUGGGAGGUGUCGGGGGGCAGAUCGUGACCUCCCCCACCACCCCCGUCCCGGCCCCGAGCAGGUCUCACCCUCCCCGAGGUGCAGGUCUGGAGCAGGGGAGCAGCCCCCCACCCUGCCCGCCGGGUCGCGGGGCGGGGGUACCGACUGCAGCCCCGCGGUGCGGGGAUCGGGGCAGCGGCAGCGCCCUCGCCUCGCCUCCCUUUCCAUCCCCUCCCCUCCCCUUUUUUCCAUCCGCUCCCCUCCCCUCCCCUUCCCUCCCGGCGCGGCGCCGGCCCCCGCCCCCGCCGCGGCAGGAGUCUCCCGGCCGGGGGCGGCGGGAGCGGGGGGAGGACCGGGGCUGGAAAGGUGAGCGCUCGGAUUGCCGGAGCGCCGGUCCCGACCCGCGCGUACCGAAACGAAGCUGCCAUUUGUGAGCUGUGAGUGACGAGCGUGUGUGUCUUUUAAUUUUCCCACUGCCACUACUACCAGCUUCCUCCUGUGUUUUCAGUGAUGGUACCCUGCAGAUGUGAGUGGCUGGCUGAGAGGGCCAUGCUGCUGGGCCAGGCAGCAGCUGCCUUGAAAGGCUGGCAGUUAAAUCAUUCAUCCAGUAAGCAGAUUUUUGAAUCUUGACGCAACUGAAUGCCUCCUGUUCCACCGUACAGCAGUGGCCUUGAUCACAAAAAUCUGUGACCUCCUGAGACAUGAGCAGCAAGUUGGCAAAGAACUGGUUAUCCUCUUCAUUAAAGAAGUCCACUUACACAGAGGCACAGAACCCCAUCCUCCAUCUGCCUCUUCAAGGCAUGCUUAUAGGAUGUCAUCUACUGAGACAGGGGACACUGUGGGAAAAAUCUGUUGCACAAAAAGCCCAGUUAUUGUUAUCUUCAGAACCCCAAAUCCAGGCUUUUCUCACUUUUGUCUUCCCCUAGCAAUGUCAUCAAAAUGGACAUCCUAGCACUCAACUCUCUCUGAACAGUGAGGAAAAUGUUCUUAUCUAUUUUCACAUGUAAUUUCAUGUGUUAGGUAGAAUAUAAUCACUGAAUAUGCUGUGGGAGAGACUAAAGUUGCUAAGUGCCUUUCUAAAUUGCAUUUAAAUAUUCAAAUUAACAGGAAAUUUUUAGGGUUUAUUUGAAUUUUAAAAUUUCCAUGGCAGAUUGUUUUCUAAACCUUUUCUGUUAUUAAAGAAGCUUAGUUAGCCUGCUGAGGUUGGCUUAAAACAUUAAUAAUAAUUGGCUGGUUGAUAUUUUUUAAUGAGAAAAGUAUUUCUUGGAGAAAUGGGAGUUCAUCCAAAUCAAUAGAAUUUGUGAGAAAAUGUCUAUUUUAAUUAAAUUGAUUAGAUUUCAUGAUCACAGCAUACAUCAGCAGAAAGCUAGUCUCAAGAUUUAUUUGCUUUGUUUUAUAACUAAACCAAAUUAAACCAAAAUUGUUUUCUAUAUGGA